rnacentral:rRNA from 1 species
GUGCCAGCCGCCGCGGCAACACCAGCGCCACAAGUGGCGAUCAGUUUUAUUGGGUCUAAAGCGUCUGUAGCCGAUUUAGUAAGUCUUUUGUGAAACUGUAGGGCUUAACCUUACAACGUGCAAAGGAUACUGUUAAUUUAGGGACCAGGAGAGGUUGAAAGAACUCCUUGGGAAGCGGUAAAAUGUUUUAAUCCUUGGAGGACUACCUAUGGCGAAGGCAUUCAACCAGAAUGGAUCCGACGGUGAGAGACGAAAGCUAGGGGAGCGAACAGGAUUAGAUACCCUAGUAGUCCUAGCUGUAAACGCUGCAAUUAUGUGUUGCAUGUUCUCCGUGAACAUGCAGUGCCGAGCGAAGGCGUUAAAUUGG